UGGAGUCCUUGAGGAGGUCCUUGAAGUCACUGGGGGGUUAGAAGGUACCUGAGGAGGGUCCUGGAGUCCUUGAGGAGGUCCUUGAAGUCACUGGGGGGUUAGAAGGUACCUGAGGAGGGUCCUGGAGUCCUUGAGGAGGUCCUUGAAGUCACUGGGGGGUUAGAAGGUACCUGAGGAGGGUCCUGGAGUCCUUGAGGAGGUCCUUGAAGUCACUGGGGUGUUAGAAGGUACCUGAGGAGGGUCUUGGAGUCCUUGAGGAGGUCCUUGAAGUCACUGGGGUGUUAGAAGGUACCUGAGGAGGGUCUUGGAGUCCUUGAGGAGGUCCUUGAAGUCACUGGGGGUUAGAAGGUACCUGAGGAGGGUCCUGGAGUCCUUGAGGAGGUCCUUGAAGUCACUGGGGGGGUUAGAAGGUACCUGAGGAGGGUCUUGGAGUCCUUGAGGAGGUCCUUGAAGUCACUGGGGGGUUAGAAGGUAUCUGAGGAGGGUCUUGGAGUCCUUGAGGAGGUCCAAAGGGUCCUUGAGAGGAUUUUAAAGGUCCUUGAAUAAACUCAAAGGCCCUUGAAGAGGUCCUGGAGAUCACUGGGGGAUUAUAAGGUCAUUGAGGAGGGUCCUUGAAUCCUUGAGGUAACUCAGAUGGUCCUUGAAGAGGUCCUGGAGAUCACUGGGGGAUUAUAAAGUCAUUGAGGAGGGUCCUGGAGUCCUGGAGUCGGCUGUCUGUACUGUUGCCAUGGUUACCUGCAGCUGAUUUAAGGGUGUUUGACCUGAACUACGACUGAUUUUAACACCUGACAUCCAAUCAGAGAGCUGCGUGUCGCUCUCUCUCUCUCCGUGCAACAGUGAGGCUCUCUCGCCCCGCAGACACUAAACCAGUUAAUCACCAAUAAUCAAUCACAUCAAUC